UUACGACCAUAUCACGCUGAAACAUCUGUUCCCUUACGAUGACUGAAGUUUAGCAACAUCGAGCCUGGUCAGUAUCUAGAUGGGUGACCGCUUGUGAAGGCCAGCUGCUGUAAG